rnacentral:misc_RNA from 1 species
GAUGAAGAACUUAGCGAAAUGCGAUAAGUAGUGUGAAUUGCAGAAUUCAGUGAAUCAUCGAAUCUUUGAACGCACAUUGCGCCUCCUGGUAUUCCGGGAGGCAUGCCUGUUCGAGCGUCAUCAAAAACCUCAACCCAUGAUUUAUUGUGAGUUGGUUCUGCAUUGGACUCCUUGUGGGUCCUUUGCGAAAUCCAAUGGCGAAGAGCCACGCAACCAAAGCGUAGUAUAACUAUUUCGUUAUGGAAGCGUGGGUGCCUCUGCCGUAACCCCCAAUUUCUUAGUUUUUGACCUCGGAUCAGGUAGGGAUACCCGCUGAACUUAAGCAUAUCAAUAAGCGGAGGA